rnacentral:rRNA from 1 species
GACAGAGGUGCCAAGCGUUAGGCGGAAUCACUGGGCUUAAAGCGUGUGUAGGCGGAACGUUAAGUGCCUUGUGAAAUCCCACGGCUCAACCGUGGAACUGCUGGGCAUACUGGCGUUCUUGAGCCAGCCAGGGGUCGUCGGAACAAACGGUGGAGCGGUGAAAUGCGUAGAGAUGUGGAGGAACACCAGUGGCGAAGGCGGCUCUCUGGUCUGUAACUGACGCUGAGGCGCGAAAGCGUGGGGAGCGAACAGG